UUCUGGAUGAUGUAAUCUCCUAGAUGAAUAGUGAAUAUCAACUGAAGACGCUGUCUGCCUUAGAGGAUACAUUCCUUCAGAGGGUCCACAUUGUGAGAAACCAUCAUAUAGGUAGCGUUGCCAUGGAUGCGCCUCCGGGCGCCGGCGCGUCACUUCCGCGGAGACGCCAGUGACGUCAGUCUGGAUGCCGGGAUGGCGCGCCCAGCGGCACACGCUUGAGGGGAUGUUCCUAAUGGGGAAAUUGGUGAAUCGAUCAGGUUGAUUUCUAAAUUCAUCCGAAUUUCAUUCAUUUUGCUAAAAAUGUACCAAAUAUAUCAAAGGGAGAAUCGGGAAACCGUUUACAGAAAUGGGUGGAGAGGAGACCAGUGUUCUGGAACAUAUCAUCUGUUAUAUUAUUAUUCCCUAUGGGAGUUGAUAGCACAGCAAGCACAGGGCCGUCUUCCCACACAGAGACUUGAGCUUGUCCUGCUUUACUAAGUAAUAAAGUCAAAUAAAACACCAGCCUUCCGGGGAGAAGAGGGAAGAGGUUGCUGCUGCCUGCACCCACCGCCAGCCAGAGGAGUUACAGCACAGACUGGGACUGACAUGCUGGCAGUGCCAUCCUCCCACCAAACACCGCCCCACUAAGCCUUGCCCCCUCACAGAAAGAGGUGUGGCCUCGAAGCAGUGUGGCCCACUACGGAUUCACCCGAUUCCACACCGUGCCAGUACAACUGAACAUUUAUUACCAGUUAUUAUUAUAGAGAAUAUAUGGUCUGUCUCAGUGGACCUUACAAUCUAUGUUUUCUCCCACAUGUACACACACAUACAAUUCAACUACCAGUAAAGAUAUUUGGAUUGUGGGAGGAAACCAUGGGGAGAAUAUACAAACUCCAAACAGUUAGAGCCGCAUUGGGAAUCAAACCCACAACAUCAGCGCUGUGAGGCAGUAAUGCUAACCAUUACACCAUCCAUGGUGCAUAUACAUGAAUAUGUUAUUUUUGCAUGCAUUCUUAUACGUAAAUUCGAUGUACAAAUAUGUACAACCAUAGAUGACAUUUGCUGUUUAUUAUCUCUAAUUUGAUACACAUUUCUGUCUUUUAUGAAUGUAAAAGGUCUGUAAAUAGAUGAGCUUUUUCUCUGCAUAAUAUACUGUUGCUAAAGGAGAGAUUUUAUGAUUUAUAUUAGUGAUUUGUCAUAAAAAGCAGACCUGCAUAGAUCAUCCUCUUUAAAAGUAUUUUAAAACUAAUCAAAGUGUAUUCAGUUUGUACAAGUGGAAAAUUAAUGAUUAGAUUUUAUUUUGAUUGAUCGCCAAAUACUGCAAACAUUU